UUUAAUGAGAGUUUGAUCCUGGCUCAGGACGAACGCUGGCGGCGUGCCUAAUACAUGCAAGUAGAACGCUGAGGUUUGGUGUUUACACUAGACUGAUGAGUUGCGAACGGGUGAGUAACGCGUAGGUAACCUGCCUCAUAGCGGGGGAUAACUAUUGGAAACGAUAGCUAAUACCGCAUAAGAGUAAUUAACACAUGUUAGUUAUUUAAAAGGAGCAAUUGCUUCACUGUGAGAUGGACCUGCGUUGUAUUAGCUAGUUGGUGAGGUAA
rnacentral:rRNA from 1 species